rnacentral:tRNA from 1 species
GCGGCUAUCGUCAAGUGGUUAAGACACAGGAUUGUGGCUCCUGCAUCGUGGGUUCGAAUCCCACUAGCCGCCCCA